GUAUUUUCCCUAAGUUGCAGGUAACCUCGUAUGUCCUGUGGGUAUUCCUCUCUGUCUGCCUGUUGGCAGCUAAUAGGACUGGUCACCGUUGUUGUUAUUAUGUGGUGGAGUAAGUUUCUGCUGGUGGUUCAAGAGGACACACUCCUAACAAGCUGAUGUCCUUUCAUUUUUCAUUUGAGAAAUAUUUAUGUACAUUCGUAAAUAAUUGUAAUAAAGUUUUUUUCACCUC